rnacentral:rRNA from 1 species
GCGCGAUUGGAGCGGCCGAUGGCAGAUUAGGUAGUUGGUGGGGUAAAGGCUCACCAAGCCUGCGAUCUGUAGCUGGUCUGAGAGGACGACCAGCCACACUGGGACUGAGACACGGCCCAG